AUGCAUCCGUACAUUUAGUUGGAGUUGACUCGCCUCCACAUCACAUAAAGUUUCUUGGGGGUGCAGAAUACCUCCAAGUUGUCAGAUGUACGUUUGUCGGGGAAGAGAGAAUUUAAAAGAAAUUCAAAGUGUAUUUGACUUGAACAAGAAACCCGUAGAUCAUCAUGCCACAUGCAAACUAAACUGGGAAUUAACAAACAUGACGCCACUGUGGCUGUGGGGUAGGAGCUAAACUAUUAACCGUAACCAACUGGAGAGUGAUCAAGAAUAAGGACACAAAACUCUAAGUAACAAAAUGCUGUAAGAUGGAUAAAAGAAGUUGGAACCGACGGGAUUUGAACUCCGUAAAAUCGACACAAGCAAUACCACAAUACCUUUUACGUCAAGGGACUUCAUCGUCACAGCAAUUCAUAAUGGUUUCUAUGGCAAUGACGAGUUUUUUCGAAGACGGAAAGAUACACUUCUUUUUAGGAAGGACAGCGUAUAACUGAUGCCAACACUCUCUCAAUAUUACUGGUCUGAAAAUUGGUUGAAGGGGGCCAGUCGAUUCCAUCAACCCCUGUGUUUCACUGGUACUUUAUUUGUCAACCCCGAAAGGAUGAAAGAUAAAGUGGACCUCGGAAGAAUUUGAACUCAAAACGUAGCGGUAUAUGAAAUACCGCUAAACAUUUCGGCCGGCGUGCUAACGAUUCUGCCAAUACACUGACUUAAAAAAUUCUUAAAUAAUACUAACUGUUCUUUUUACUUUUUAAGGUUCUUAAUUCAGUUUCAGUAGAACAGCAGCAGAAUUGACGAUUAUAAAGUAUAGAAGAUGUGUACCAGGGUGGAUGACUCAUCAGAUUUGAUUGUGUUAAUUGCUCACUAACACGAGCCCUUCGUAACAAUGCGUUUUUCACACAAACCAACUGCUUUGUUCGUUCGGCUCGCGUUACUUCUGCAGUUAUGGUCGUCAGAUGCGGCACAAAAAUCUCUUGCCAAAUACACACGCGCACACACACGUAGGCACGCAUGCACACACACAAACACUCGCUCACAUACACGCACAAACACAUCUACGCCUCCACACAAACUUACUCACAAACUUACACACACCUAGACAGGCACUUACAGACAUACACUACGGGCUUCCACGUAGUUUCCGUCUUCCAAAGUCACUCAUGAGGUAUUAGUCAACCUGAGGCUAUCGUAGAAGAUAUUUUCCCAAGGUUCGCUAAGUGGGACCGAACUCAAAAUCACGUGGUUGAAAAUGAGCUUCUUAACGACACAACCAAGCAAAUAACAUCAAUUUCGUUUAAAAGCAUUUUCUUUACGGAGCUUGAGUAAAAAAAAAGAAGAAAAAUAGGGAAAUGUUAUCCAAACGAGGUAUCCCUAACCACUUGACCGUGGGCCAGUCUCAGGCUGCAUAGGCAAAAUAAAUUAAAAAAUUUUAUUUCUUUUCUAUCGCAGUGUAUACGGUGUUUUUGUGUUACACUGGGAAACAUGGCUUUAGUUGUUUGGUGUUGGAGUAAUUUCCUAGCAAUUUUGGGUUCUGCUGAUUUCAAGAAUUGAAAUCCAUUGUCACCAUUUCUAAGGAUAGAUUUGGCUUCAUCAAAUGCAGACCCAUAUCUGGAGCUCGACACAACUUUGAAAACAUAGUUUUUCGAUAUCAGUUAAAGAGAAUACAACCACAAAAAUGAAAACAAAAGUUAUGAUUUAAGUAUCUUUCCGUAAAUAAAAUGCAUUAGCAUUGAGCAACUUUCCCUAUUUUCAAUCUAACCAGUUUUAAAUGUCAUGAUGAUGACAGAAAUGUCAUCCAUACAAUUAAAUAUCAUAUUUCUGUGGUCCUUGACGUUAUACAUGCCUCAUAUUUAUGGAAUUUGUUUGCAGAUAUGCCACGCUGUGCUUGACUUAGUGUAACUAUCAUUGCAAACUAGGUGAAACAUAUUUUGUUGUACCUUUAACUAUUUCUUAUGAAAAUUGGUAUCUUGAAUGCGCCCUUAAUGUUUUGAAGCCACAUGGGUCAAGGUCACUUUUUGUCAAAGGACUGUAGGAGGAACUUCAUGGUAUGUAUGCUCUUUUUGUGGAAAUUUUGCCAUCACAAAUCUCCAUUUGCUUACUUUAUAACUGUUGGCAAUUCUGAAAAUGCUUUUCCCAAGUGACAGCUGGCUCGAAUACAUGUUUUGUAUUUCAGAAAUAGGGCCAGUUGUGAGAGAAGAACAUACAAAAAUAGCUCUAAUGUUUUUUGUUUGCGAAGAAAACUUACCUUAUAAAAGCAGCUGACCAGCCCUAUUACUUUCGGACAAACAAUGCAACUGUGCUUAUUCAGAGAGUAAACAGCAGAAAAAAAUUACGUGAUUGGCGGAAACUGGGUGUUGUUUUGAAAUCAGCCAAUUUUAGUCUAAACCAAGCGAAAAAGCAAACUCAACAGAAAUUAUAUUAAAAAUUGUUAACCCUGCCUUGUAUAUGUAUCAUAAAUGUAAUAUAUAUGUGUAUUAUGUAUGUAAUAAAUAAAUUAUAUAUUACGCA